AUGGGUCUCUAUGGGGCUCUAUGGGGCUCUAUGGGCUCUAUGGGUCCCUAUGGGGCUCUAUGGGGCUCUAUGGGGCUCUAUGGGCUCUAUGGGGCUCUAUGGGUCUCUAUGGGUCUCUAUGGGGCUCUAUGGGGCUCUAUGGGUCUCUAUGGGGCUCUAUGGCUCCCUAUGGGUUCCUAUGAGGCUCUAUGGGUCUCUAUGGGGCUCUAUGGGGCUCUAUGGGGCUCUAUGGGGCUCUAUGGGUCCCUAUGGGUCCCUAUGGGGCUCUAUGGGGCUCUAUGGGUCUCUAUGGGUCUCUAUGGGGCUCUAUGGGUCUCUAUGGGGCUCUAUGGGUCUCUAUGGGUCCCUAUGGUUCUCUAUGGGUCUCUAUGGGUCCCUAUGGGUCUCUAUAGGGCUCUAUGGGGCUCUAUGGGUCUCUAUGGGUCUCUAUGGGUCUCUAUGGUCUCUAUGGGUCUCUAUGGGUCUCUAUGGGGCUCUAUGGGUCCCUAUGGGUCUCUGUGGGGCUCUAUGGGGCUCUAUGGGGCUCUAUGGGUCUCUAUGGGUCUCUAUGGGUCUCUAUGGGUCCCUAUGGCUCCCUAUGGG